GGGGCUGGAGAGAGGGCUCAGUGGUUAAGAGCACUGACUGUUCUUCCAGAGGUCCUUAGUUCAAUUCCCAGCAACCCCA
rnacentral:tRNA from 1 species